CUGAAACUCGAAAGAAGAGCAAAUUUCCUGCACCUCCGAAAGUUCCGUUUACAUCUCAGAUCACAAAAGCCAGUGUAAAAGAUUUUGUUUUUGAUUGUAAUCGGAAGCCUGUUCCCGAUUCUGAUAAUGUACACAAAAAUCUAAGGGACCAACCUUUAAUUAAUAAAAAGAAUCUGACGUCUUCUACUAAUUUCAUUGAUGUGGAUAAGAUAUCUACUCAACAAGACUUUUCUUCAAAGAACGUAAUAUCAACUGAUAAUGCUAAAGUUAAGAAUUUAGCUGUAUUUGAAAAAGUUAAAUCUAAACUUGAUACAA
rnacentral:lncRNA from 13 species